AUGCCAAAGCCUUUGACUGUGAGGAUCACAAGAAACUGGAAAAUUCUGAAAGAGAUGGGAAUACCAGACCACCUGACCUGCCUCUUGAGAAAUCUGUAUGCAGGUCAGGAAGCAACAGUUAGAAGUGGACAUGGAACAACAGACUGGUUCCAAAUAGGAAAAGGAGGACAUCAAGGCUGUAUAUUGUCACCCUGCUUAUUUAACUUCUAUGCAGAGUACAUCAUGAGAAAUGCUGGGCUGGAAGAAGCACAAGCUGGAAUCAAGAUUGCCGGGAGAAAUAUCCAUAACCUCAGAUAUGCAGAUGACACCACCCUUAUGGCAGAAAAUGAAGAGGAGCUAAAAAGCCUCUUGAUGAAAGUGAAAGAAGAGAGUGAAAAAGUUGGCUUAAAGCUCAACAUUCAGAAAACGAAGAUCAUGGCAUCUGGUCCCAUCACUUCAUGGGAAAUAGAUGAGGAAACAGUGGAAACAGUGUCAGAUUUUAUUGUUUUGGGCUCCAAAAUCACUGCAGAUGGUGACUGCAGCCAUGAAAUUAAAAGACACUUACUCCUUGGAAGAAACGUUAUGACCAACCUAGACAGCAUAUUCAAAAGCAGAGACAUUACUUUGCCGACUAAGGUCCGUCUAGUCAAGGUUAUGGUUUUUCCUGUGGUCAUGUAUGGAUGUGAGAGUUGGACUGUGAAGAAGGCUGAGCGCCAAAGAAUUGAUGGUUUUAAACUGUGGUGUUGGAGAAGACUCUUGAGGGUCCCUUGGACUGCAAGGAGAUCUAACCAGUCCAUUCUGAAGGAGAUCAGCCCUGGGAUUUCUUUGGAAGGAAUGAUGCUAAAGCUGAAACUCCAGUACUUUGGCCACCUCAUGCGAAGAGUUGACUCAUUGGAAAAGACUCUGAUACUGGGAGGGAUUGGAGCCAGGAGGAGAAGGGGACGACAGUGGAUGAGAUGGCUGGAUGGCAUUACUGACUUGAUGUAUGUGAGUCUGAGUGAACUCCAGGAGUUGAUGAUGGACAGGGAGCCCUGGCCUGCUGCGAUUAAUGGGGUCGCAAAGAGUCAGACAUGA
rnacentral:lncRNA from 1 species